CAUCUUCAGGGCGGGGUGCAAGUCCCCACCGGCGGUAAAGUCCGCGAGCCGAAAGGCUGAGCAGGUGCAAUUCCUGCACCGACGGUGAUAGUCCGGAAGGAAGAAG
rnacentral:ncRNA from 1 species